rnacentral:rRNA from 1 species
GACGAACGCUUUCGGCGUGCUUAACACAUGCAAGUCGAACGGAAAGGCCCUGCUUUUGUGGGGUGCUCGAGUGGCGAACGGGUGAGUAACACGUGAGUAACCUGCCCUUGACUUUGGGAUAACUUCAGGAAACUGGGGCUAAUACCGGAUAGGAGCUCCUGCUGCAUGGUGGGGGUUGGAAAGUUUCGGCGGUUGGGGAUGGACUCGCGGCUUAUCAGCUUGUUGGUGGGGUAGUGGCUUACCAAGGCUUUGACGGGUAGCCGGCCUGAGAGGGUGACCGGCCACAUUGGGACUGAGAUACGGCCCAGACUCCUACGGGAGGCAGCAGUGGGGAAUAUUGCACAAUGGGCGGAAGCCUGAUGCAGCAACGCCGCGUGCGGGAUGACGGCCUUCGGGUUGUAAACCGCUUUCGCCUGUGACGAAGCGUGAGUGACGGUAAUGGGUAAAGAAGCACCGGCUAACUACGUGCCAGCAGCCGCGGUGAUACGUAGGGUGCGAGCGUUGUCCGGAUUUAUUGGGCGUAAAGGGCUCGUAGGUGGUUGAUCGCGUCGGAAGUGUAAUCUUGGGGCUUAACCCUGAGCGUGCUUUCGAUACGGGUUGACUUGAGGAAGGUAGGGGAGAAUGGAAUUCCUGGUGGAGCGGUGGAAUGCGCAGAUAUCAGGAGGAACACCAGUGGCGAAGGCGGUUCUCUGGGCCUUUCCUGACGCUGAGGAGCGAAAGCGUGGGGAGCGAACAGGCUUAGAUACCCUGGUAGUCCACGCUGUAAACGGUGGGUACUAGGUGUGGGGUCCAUUCCACGGGUUCCGUGCCGUAGCUAACGCUUUAAGUACCCCGCCUGGGGAGUACGGCCGCAAGGCUAAAACUCAAAGGAAUUGACGGGGCCCCGCACAAGCGGCGGAGCAUGCGGAUUAAUUCGAUGCAACGCGUAGAACCUUACCUGGGUUUGACAUGGAUCGGGAGUGCUCAGAGAUGGGUGUGCCUCUUUUGGGGUCGGUUCACAGGUGGUGCAUGGCUGUCGUCAGCUCGUGUCGUGAGAUGUUGGGUUAAGUCCCGCAACGAGCGCAACCCUUGUUCACUGUUGCCAGCACGUUAUGGUGGGGACUCAGUGGAGACCGCCGGGGUCAACUCGGAGGAAGGUGGGGAUGACGUCAAGUCAUCAUGCCCCUUAUGUCCAGGGCUUCACGCAUGCUACAAUGGCUGGUACAGAGAGUGGCGAGCCUGUGAGGGUGAGCGAAUCUCGGAAAGCCGGUCUCAGUUCGGAUUGGGGUCUGCAACUCGACCUCAUGAAGUCGGAGUCGCUAGUAGUCGCAGAUCAGCAACGCUGCGGUGAAUACGUUCCCGGGGCU